UGGSRGGCUUAMCAUGCAGUCGAGCGGACCUUUCGGGGUCAGCGGCGGACGGGUGAGUAACGCGUGGGAACGUGCCUUCCGGUUCGGAAUAACCCUGGGAAACUAGGGCUAAUACCGGAUACGCCCUUAUGGGGAAAGGUUUACUGCCGGAAGAUCGGCCCGCGUCUGAUUAGCUAGUUGGUGGGGUAACGGCCUACCAAGGCGACGAUCAGUAGCUGGUCUGAGAGGAUGAUCAGCCACACUGGGACUGAGACACGGCCCAGACUCCUACGGGAGGCAGCAGUGGGGAAUAUUGGACAAUGGGCGCAAGCCUGAUCCAGCCAUGCCGCGUGAGUGAUGAAGGCCUUAGGGUUGUAAAGCUCUUUUAUCCGGGACGAUAAUGACGGUACCGGAGGAAUAAGCCCCGGCUAACUUCGUGCCAGCCGCCGCSGGGUAAUACA
rnacentral:rRNA from 1 species